rnacentral:rRNA from 1 species
CGUCGAAGUAGUGUAUGUCAUACUUCCAAGAAAAGCUUGCACUGUCAUAAAUAGAAAACGCCUGUACCCUAAACCGACACAGGUAGGUAGGUAGAGUAUACUAAGGGGCGCGAGAUAACUCUCUCUAAGGAACUCGGCAAAAUAGCCUCGUAACUUCGGGAGAAGAGGUACCCUUAAUUGGGUUGCAAGAACCAGACGCUGGCGACUGUUUAUCAAAAACACAGGGCUCUGCUAAAUCGAAAGAUGAUGUAUAGGGCCUGACACCUGCCCGGUGCCGGAAGGUUAAGAGGAGAGCUUAGCGUAAGCGAAGGUUUGAAUUGAAGCCCCGGUAAACGGCGGCCGUAACAAUAACGGUCCUAAGGUAGCGAAAUUCCUUGUCGGGUAAGUUCCGACCUGCACGAAUGGCGUAACGACUUCCCCACUGUCUCCAGCAUCGACUCAGCGAAAUUGAAGUCCCCGUGAA